rnacentral:rRNA from 1 species
GAUGAACGCUGACGGCAUGCUUAACACAUGCAGUCACCGAGGGUGGCGGACGGGUGAGUAACGAGUACAGAAAUAGCCUCACAGGUAGGGACAACAUUUGGAAACGAAUGCUAAUACAUAAUACUGUGAGAGAGCUUUGCGUCCCAUUAGCUAGUUGGAGAGGUAACGGAUCACCAAGGCGAUGAUGGGUAGCCGGCCUGAGAGGGUGAUAGGGCACAAGGGGACUGGGACACCGCCCUUACUCCAACGUGAGGCAGGAGCGGGGAAUAUUGGACAAAAGACCAAAGUCUGAUCCAGGAAUUCUGUGUGCACGAUGAAGUUUUCGGAAUGUAAAGUGCUUUCAGUUGGGAAGCGGUACCAACAGAAGAAGUGACGGCUAACUACGUGCCAGCAGCCGCGGUAAUUC